CAGCAGCCGCGGUAAUUCCAGCUCCAAUAGCGUAUAUUAAAGUUGUUGCAGUUAAAAAGCUCGUAGUUGAAUUUCGGGAUCAAUGUUUCGGACAUGCCCUUGGUAUGUACUGAUAUUAUUGGUUUCUCACCUUCUAAAGAACCGUAAUGCCAUUAAUUUGGUGUCACGGGGAAUUAGGACUGUUACCUUGAAAAAAUUAGAGUGUUUAAAGCAGGCUCACGCUUGAAUACAUUAGCAUGGAAUAACGAAAUAGGACGUUCGAUCCUAUUUUGUUGGUUUCUAGGAUUGACGUAAUGAUUAAUAGGGAUAGUUGGGGGCAUUAGUAUUCAACUGUCAGAGGUGAAAUUCUUGGAUUUAUUGAAGACUAACUACUGCGAAAGCAUUUGCCAAGGAUGUUUUCAUUAAUCAAGAACGAAAGUUAGGGGAUCGAAGACGAUCAGAUACC
rnacentral:rRNA from 1 species